GCGGGGCCGGGGCGCGGGGCCGGGGCGCGUGACCCAGUGACCGGUCGUCCCAGAGCGGUGCGGGGCGCGUCGCCGUCUCAGGGUGCGAGGUGCGUGCGGGCUCCUGGCUGUCGGUUCGGACUCUCCAGCCACAACAUGUUUAACGGCCAGUCUCUUGAGCAUAUAAAGAGACUGAAAACUGCUUGAUGACAAGAGACCACGCCUGUCUUGUUCUUACUGUGUUCACAGCACCUAGCCAGUGCCUAGAGGAUAGCGUUAAAAUUUUAUUUUGGGGCUUCCCACCACUGGUGGCGCAGUGGUUAAGAAUCCUCCUGCCAAUGCAGGCGACACGGGUUCGAGCCCUGGUCCGGGAAAAUCCCACAUGCCACGGAGCAACUAAGACCGUGAACCACAACUACUGAGCCUGUGCUCUAGAGCCUGUGAGCCACAACUACUGAGACCACGUGCCCCAACUACUGAAGCCCACGCACCUAGAGCCAGUGCUCUGCAACAAGACAAGCCACCAUAAUGAGAAGCCCACGCGCCACAACGAAGAGUAGCCCCCGCUCGCCACAGCUAGAGAAAGCCCGCGUGCAGCAACGAAGACCCAAGGCAGCCAAAAAUUUAAAAAAUUAAAAAUUUUUAAAAACAGAAGGUAUGCGCAUGCAUUGUUUUAAAAAAUUUUAUUUUCAA